UAGAUGAUUGUUACAAGUGUGCCCGAAACGGACCGAGUUCAUCAAUGGGACUGGCAAUGAACGCCACCUAUGACAAAUUAGUAUUUUCGUCACGAUCCUUAGGCAUGUAACGUUGUGCAAUAUCGCGGGACAAGAAUUUCCCAUACCAUGAUGCACCUGCACACGUGCAACUGAUGGAACAGUAACCAGCACAUGGCCAACUUCUUACGGUAUAUGAAACAAACCCGUAGCGCAAGUCCCACCUGAACGCGAAUGACUUGGAAUACUUAGCGUUUCUUCACGUUCCAGUAACACCCAGUCGUCGUGUAACCGAUUCCAGAUCUAAGUUUUCUAUCGCAUAGAAACUAACUGAUCCAGGAAGUUUUCGUUUCUCCUCAACGAAGUUGGUAAUUCACUAAAGUCUGACGAGUACUCCAAAUGCUGGGAUUCCAAAGGAUCGGUCCACACCUCCGCAAUGUAAAUAUAAAUUUCUCUUUUUAUGGCAGCUGUAAGAAAUUGUUCACACCCGGUAUCCGAGUCCUCAACACUCCUGUAAAUUGAUUUCGUUGCGGAUUUGCGUUGCUGCGACGAACGCAUGUGGAUUGUGCGUGUAGACGAAUAUCGCUGACACACCUCGUAAAAAGCUGAA